rnacentral:lncRNA from 1 species
UCUGCUUUUUUUUGCUUCUUCUUUCUUUGUUCUACUGUAUUCUUUUUUUUUCUUUCCUUGUUGGUUCCUAUUUUGUCAAGAACUCAUCUUUUAAUCUUUUUUUUCUCCAAAUUCAAUUUUAUUGGGGUGUGAUUUUUGUUAUCGCCUUAUCAUGUAAGUGCUUUUUGAAUUUUCCUUUUGUACCAAAUAUUUAUUUAAUUAAUAUUAUCAUUAGUUUGUUAUUGGUGGAAGGUUUUGAGGUUGGGAACAAGUAUUUUUUGUUGUUUUAUGUGAUCGAGGUUGUUUUAAUUGAGAAAUCUUUUGGAUUUAGGUGAAGAUUUUUGGACUAACGAUCCUUCGACGAG